GGGGCUAUGGGGUAGUCCGGCAUCCUAGUUGGCUCCAGACCAACCGAUGGGGGUUCAAAUCCCCCUGGCCCCA
rnacentral:tRNA from 1 species